CAGGUUUGCAGGUAUAAGACGAAAGCUAGAAUUUCAGUGUCAUUGACACCCAGAAAGAGGGGUGGGGUGGAGGGAGAUCUCUGCUUUAUAAAAGGGUUUCAGCCACCAACACUGAGCAAGAGGCAGGUCUGAUCCUCCCUACAAGCACCUGGGAAGCCAGAGCCCAAGGAUGAAGGUUUAUGCAGUGACCACCAUUGCUGUCCUCUUGGUGCAGCUCUCGUUCCUGGUUCAGGCUGGGGAUGAGAAAGGGUUGGUAGCUCCAGAGAAGCAGGUGGGGGCUGAGAGAGGGAGAAAGCACCUCAGCCAUCAGAUGGAGGAGAGAAAGCUCCAAAAGGCAGCUCAGUGAGGUGUCAGCCUGCUGCCAGAGUGCAGAAGAAGGCAGGAGAAGAUGGAGUUGGAGCCAGGUCCCACAGCAAACUGCUGAGCAAGCCACAACGAGAAAGCAGUAAACAGAAGGCCACUAGCAAGCUGCAGCCCCCCAAGAGCAAGAGCCCAGCAUCCAGCAACCACUUGGAAGGCCAUGGGAAAUUCAAUACUGACACUGCUAAGACCUGCCAGAAACCCUCAGACUGUGAUGGCUGCCUUGGCCUCUACACCUGCAAACUGCCUCAGGGGAAGUGUGGUUUGAAAGCUGUUUCCAGGAAAACAGGUGGAUUCUACCAAUGCAUACAAAACACCUGAGGUACUUGAUCCUGCUAACCCUUGAAUGACACAGCACGAUACCAAGAUAGAAAAGUCGUACUGCAGCCUAGAGCCCCAAACUUUCUGUAUUUCUUCAUAGCUCUCAUUUUAAAUGUUGAACUAAAAACUUCAAAGCUGUAAGAAUUCCAUACAAGAAACAUUUCAGUCUUGUUUUUCACAGUCUUCAACAUUGCAUAUGGUACAUAGAUUUGAAUUGCUCUUUCCUUAAGUCUACCAAUGAAACUAUUUCAGUGGCUACUGAGCCCCUGGGCUUUAGGAGCACAUUUACAUUAGUCUUGCUAAACAUAGGCCACAAAGUAAGAGGA